rnacentral:rRNA from 1 species
CUAGAUUCCUACGGGAGGCAGCAGUGGGGAAUAUUGGACAAUGGGGGAAACCCUGAUCCAGCGACGCCGCGUGAGUGAAGAAGUAUUUCGGUAUGUAAAGCUCUAUCAGCAGGGAAGAAAAUGACGGUACCUGACUAAGAAGCCCCGGCUAACUACGUGCCA